rnacentral:rRNA from 1 species
GUCCACGCCGUAAACGAUGUCGACUAGCCGUUGGGAUCCUUGAGAUCUUAGUGGCGCAGCUAACGCGAUAAGUCGACGCCUGGGGGAGUACGGCCGCAAGGUUAAAACUCAAAUGAAUUGACGGGGGCCCGCACAAGCGGUGGAGCAUGUGGUUUAAUUCGAAGCAACGCGAAGAACCUUACCUGGCCUUGACAUGUCCGGAA